CCUACGGGAGGCAGCAGCAGGGAAUCUUGGGCAAUGGGCGCAAGCCUGACGCAGCGACACCGCGUGGGGGAAGAAGGCCUCAGGGUUGUAAACCCCUUUUCUGUGGGAAGAGAUAGGACGGUACCACAGGAAUAAGCAUCGGCUAACUACGUGCCAGCAGCCGCGGUAAUACGUAGGAUGCAAGCGUUGUCCGGAUUUACUGGGCGUAAAGGGUGUGUAGGCGGCAUGUUAAGUCUCAUGUGAAAUCUCCCGGCUCAACUGGGAGGGGUCAUGGGAAACUGGUAAGCUGGAGGGCAGCAGAGGAAAGCGGAAUUCCGGGAGUAGUGGUGGAAUGCGUAGAUACCCGGAGGAACACCAGAGGCGAAGGCGGCUUUCUGGGCUGUACCUGACGCUGAGACGCGAAAGCGUGGGGAGCGAACCGGAUUAGAUACCCGGGUAGUCCACGCCCUAAACGAUGGAUACUAGAUAUAGGGGGUAUUGACCCCUCCUGUGUCGGAGUUAACGCGAUAAGUAUCCCGCCUGGGGAGUACGGCCGCAAGGCUAAAACUCAAAGGAAUUGACGG
rnacentral:rRNA from 1 species